rnacentral:tRNA from 1 species
GCGGGCAUGAUGGAAUUGGCAGACGUGCAGGAUUUAGGUUCCUGUGCCGCAAGGCGUGGGGGUUCAAAUCCCCCUGCCCGCACCA